rnacentral:lncRNA from 1 species
UCAUGCUAAAACUUUAUUGAGCAUAAUACUUAUGAAAUCUUAUGUUAUCCUUUGUGAAGGUAUGAAUGUAAUUCAUCAUGUUAUUAUUAUACCAUUCAUUCCUUAUAUGAUUAUCUAAAAUGUAUUAUGAUUUGUUUUAUAAGUCUCAUAUAUGCAUCAUAGGUUAAACCAUAAUCAUCUCAAAUUGGUUCAAUCAUAAAUGAUUAAUGUGUUAUGAUCAUAAUAAGAAACUUACUU